rnacentral:rRNA from 1 species
GAUGAACGCUGGCGGCGUGCCUAAUACAUGCAAGUCGAGCGAACGGACGAGAUUCUUGCUUUUCUGAAGUUAGCGGCGGACGGGUGAGUAACACGUGGAUAACCUACCUAUUAGACUUGGAUAACUUCGGGAAACCGUAGCUAAUACCGGAUAAUAUUUUUAACCGCAUGGUUCAAAAGUGAAAGACGGUCUUGCUGUCACUUAUAGAUGUAUCCGCGCUGCAGUAGCUAGUUGGUAAGCUAACGGCUUACCAAGGCAACGAUGGAUAGCCGACGUGAGAGGGUGAACGGCGACUCUGGAAGUGAGACGCGGUCCAGGGUCCGACGGGCGGCAGAGGUAGCGAAUCUUCGGAGCUGGGCGGAAGCUUGCAGGAGCAGCGGCGCGUGGAUGCUGCAGGGCUUCGUGUCGUAAGACUCUGUUAUUAGGGUAGAACGCUUGCGUAAGUGACUGAGCAUAGUUUGACGGUACCUGGUAAGAAAGCCACGGCUAACUACGUG